rnacentral:rRNA from 1 species
ACUCCUACGGGAGGCAGCAGUGAGGAAUAUUGGUCAAUGGAGAGAACUCUGAACCAGCCAUCCCGCGUGUAGGAAGACGGCCUUAUGGGUUGUAAACUACUUUUAUACAGGAAGAAACGUACCCUCGUGAGGGUGCCUGACGGUACUGUAGGAAUAAGCACCGGCUAACUCCGUGCCAGCAGCCGCGGUAAUACGGAGGGGUGCGAGCGUUAUCCGGAUUUAUUGGGGUUUAAAGGGGUCCGUAGGCGGAUUAAUAAGUCAGUGGUGAAAUCCCAUCGCUUAACGAUGGAACUGCCAUUGAUACUGUUAGUCUUGAAUGAGGGUGCAGUGGUUGGAAUGUGUAGUGUAGCGGUGAAAUGCAUAGAUAUUACACAGAACACCGAUUGCGAAGGCAGAUCACUAACCCUAAAUUGACGCUGAGGGACGAAAGCGUGGGGAGCGAACAGGAUUAGAUACCCUGGUAGACUGUCA